rnacentral:rRNA from 1 species
AGCCGCCGCGGUAAUACGUAGGGUGCGAGCGUUGUCCGGAAUUAUUGGGCGUAAAGGGCUCGUAGGCGGUUUGUUCGCGUCGGGAGUGAAAACACCGGGCUUAACUCGGUGCUUGCUUUCGAUACGGGCAGACUAGAGGUAUGCAGGGGAGAACGGAAUUCCUGGUGUAGCGGUGAAAUGCGCAGAUAUCAGGAGGAACACCGGUGGCGAAGGCGGUUCUCUGGGCAUUACCUGACGCUGAGGAGCGAAAGUGUGGGGAGCGAACAGGAUUAGAUACCCUGGUAGUCCACACCGUAAACGUUGGGCGCUAGGUGUGGGGCCUAUUCCAUGGGUUCCGUGCCGCAGCUAACGCAUUAAGCGCCCCGCCUGGGGAGUACGGCCGCAAGGCUAAAACUUAAAUGAAUUGACGG